rnacentral:rRNA from 1 species
CCUACGGGUGGCUGCAGUGGGGAAUAUUGGACAAUGGGGGGAACCCUGAUCCAGCCAUGCCGCGUGUGUGAAGAAGGCCCUCGGGUUGUAAAGCACUUUCAGUGAGGAAGAACGCCUGGUGGUUAAUACCCAUCAGGAAAGACAUCACUCACAGAAGAAGCACCGGCUAACUCCGUGCCAGCAGCCGCGGUAAUACGGAGGGUGCGAGCGUUAAUCGGAAUUACUGGGCGUAAAGCGCGCGUAGGUGGCUUGAUAAGCCGGUUGUGAAAGCCCCGGGCUCAACCUGGGAACGGCAUCCGGAACUGUCAAGCUAGAGUGCGGGAGAGGAAGGUAGAAUUCCCGGUGUAGCGGUGAAAUGCGUAGAGAUCGGGAGGAAUACCAGUGGCGAAGGCGGCCUUCUGGACUGACACUGACACUGAGGUGCGAAAGCGUGGGUAGCAAACAGGAUUAGAUACCCUGGUAGUC